CGGACGGGUGAGUAAUGUCUGGGAAACUGCCUGAUGGAGGGGGAUAACUACUGGAAACGGUAGCUAAUACCGCAUAACGUCUUCGGACCAAAGUGGGGGACCUUCGGGCCUCACGCCAUCGGAUGUGCCCAGAUGGGAUUAGCUAGUAGGUGGGGUAAGGGCUCACCUAGGCGACGAUCCCUAGCUGGUCUGAGAGGAUGACCAGCCACACUGGAACUGAGACACGGUCCAG
rnacentral:rRNA from 1 species